rnacentral:lncRNA from 1 species
AUCAUCAUGACUUUGAUUCUCAGAAGGAGCUGCUUGUGCAUCAACUGUCUUAUUAGAGACCUGCGAAUUUAAAAAAAAAAAAAAUCAAAACUUGCUCCAAAUUCACAUUACUAGCUACAUGAAUUCCAAUAACAAAUUCAGAUACCCUUUUCUUGAACUUAAAAUAAUCUACAGGAAUAUUUUGCAAUAUAAAAGGAAAUAAAUAUGUGGGUUAUUACUUACAGAAGUGGAAGCAGAGAGCUGAAGCAGAAAACAAGAAAAUAGAAGUAAAGGGAACUGUAAAUGCAUCAGAAGCUUAACACCCAUCACUUAUUCUCUCUUUUAGCAAAACCUAGAAUGAUUUCAGUGUGAAGUUGGGCAUUGCGGAUAUGGGUGGGUAGGGUUUUAGUAAGAGAGAAAGUGAAAGACUUCACAUUUGGGAAAUGGGGGAAGUUGAAGUGUUGAGUUGAGUGGUUAGUUGAAUUUAGAGCGUUGGACUUUUGGAGAAGAGAAG